rnacentral:tRNA from 1 species
GGAGGGUUAUCGAAGUGGUCAUAACGAGGCGGUCUUGAAAACCGUUUGGGAGCAAUCCCACGUGGGUUCGAAUCCCACACCCUCCGCCA